AAGUCUGACGGAGCACCGCCGCGUGAGUGAUGAAGGCUUUCGGGUCGUAAAACUCUGUUGUUAGGGAAGAACAAGUGCUAGUUGAAUAAGCUGGCACCUUGACGGUACCUAACCAGAAAGCCACGGCUAACUACGUGCCAGCAGCCGCGGUAAUACGUAGGUGGCAAGCGUUAUCCGGAAUUAUUGGGCGUAAAGCGCGCGCAGGUGGUUUCUUAAGUCUGAUGUGAAAGCCCACGGCUCAACCGUGGAGGGUCAUUGGAAACUGGGAGACUUGAGUGCAGAAGAGGAAAGUGGAAUUCCAUGUGUAGCGGUGAAAUGCGUAGAGAUAUGGAGGAACACCAGUGGCGAAGGCGACUUUCUGGUCUGUAACUGACACUGAGGCGCGAAAGCGUGGGGAGCAAACAGGAUUAGAUACCCUGGUAGUCCACGCCGUAAACGAUGAGUGCUAAGUGUUAGAGGGUUUCCGCCCUUUAGUGCUGAAGUUAACGCAUHAAGCACUCCGCCUGG
rnacentral:rRNA from 1 species